UGAGCAAUUGCAGUCUGAGCUUCUAUUUUACAGAGGUGAUGCUGGUGGGGCAUUCGAGGAACUUCAGAUUCUUAAACACAAAAUAUCCUUACUAGAAGCAAGCAAUGCAGAGCUACAGCGGGAGCUUAAAGAACGUCGAGUAACUUGUGAGAGUUUAUCACAACGUGCUUGUGAUGCUCAGGUUGAAAAGGACCAA